CGCUCCCUCAACCCCGACCUCUCCCUACACGCUAGCGGAAGGAUGCAUUCUGGAACUUGUAGUCUCCGAGACCGCAGGUCCCGAUUGACUCCACGAGUCGCAUAACUAAUUCCCACCUACCUCCACUGCUUCCUCCCAGGGAGCCGAAUGAAUAGUUCGGUUAGCCACAGAGGAACUAAUCGUAAAGGCGCUGGAGGCAAAAGCUCAUACCCACAGGAUGGAGGUUGUAACCUACCCCAGCUGUAGGAGCGCUGAUCACUAACUGGGGCAGCUUCAUUCCAUCUACAAACGUUUGGGGAGAACUUACAUGACUGCUCCUCCUCCCCACCCCCAACACACACACACACACACUUGAGUAAUCUCUGAGCCGGACAGAUAAGUGCAAGACCAGUUUCUGUUUGGCAGAGAAGAGUCAGGAAAAACUGCGAUCGCUCCCAUGAAAUCAAACCCAGACCCUCCGAAGUGGGCGGUGGGAAUCUCGGUGCGGGGAGGAGGACCCGAGCCCAGCGCCUUCAUCUCAUCGCCUCGUCCACCGCAGCUGGCCUCGCGGUGGCGCUGCUCCCUCUAGAACAUUAUGGCUUUGCCGCCCGGCCCUCCCAGCAUUUUCCAGGCUCGAAGAUUUAAACCAGACUGGGAGGAACUGAAUGCCACUGGGCACAGCGAGAGACCGAGUGCUUAGGGCUGACUCACUGUGACUCUGCCACUGUGCGGCCCCCGCUCGCCGCUGUAGUUUUGUAAACUUCCGGCACCUCCGAGGCGGGUCUUUCCGGAAUCGGGACAUGUACAUGUAUGACUGAGCAGCAUGGCUGACACAGCCCACAUCCUCACCGGUGAGCUUCCAAGAACCAUUUACUGAGCUGCCAGUGGUACUGGUGAAGAAAGACGGAG
ensembl:lncRNA